CCCGUCGUCGACCAGCGGAAGGUCAUCCUCGAAAACUAUUUACCGGAACUCAUAUCCAUUCGAGGAAGCCGGGGGUUCGAUUCCCCUCGACGGUA